UGGGGAAUAUUGCACAAUGGGGGGAAACCCUGAUGCAGCGACGCCGCGUGAACGAAGAAGGUUUUCGGAUCGUAAAGCUCUGUUGUAAGAGAAGAACGUGUGUGAGAGUGGAAAGUUCACACAGUGACGGUAACUUACCAGAAAGGGACGGCUAACUACGUGCCAGCAGCCGCGGUAAUACGUAGGUCCCGAGCGUUGUCCGGAUUUAUUGGGCGUAAAGCGAGCGCAGGCGGUUUAAUAAGUCUGAAGUUAAAGGCAGUGGCUUAACCAUUGUUCGCUUUUGGAAACUGUUAAACUUGAGUGCAGAAGGGGAGAGUGGAAUUCCAUGUGUAGCGGUGAAAUGCGUAGAUAUAUGGAGGAACACCGGUGGCGAAAGCGGCUCUCUGGUCUGUAACUGACGCUGAGGCU
rnacentral:rRNA from 1 species